rnacentral:rRNA from 1 species
CAUGAAGUUGGAGUUGCUAGUAAUCGCGGAUCAGCAUGCCGCGGUGAAUACGUUCCCGGGCCUUGUACACACCGCCCGUCACACCAUGGGAGUUGGGAGCGCCCGAAGCCGGUGAGGUAACCGAGAGGAGCCAGCCGUCGAAGGUGAGACCAAUGACUGGGGUGAAGUCGUAACAAGGUACC